rnacentral:tRNA from 1 species
UAAAGAUAGAGUCCCGUUCUACAUGUCAAUGUCGGCAACAAUGAAAUUUAUAGUAAGAGGAAAAUCCGUCGACUUUAAAAAUCGUGAGGGUUCAAGUCCUCUAUCCCCA